GACGAACGCUGGCGGCGUGCUUAACACAUGCAAGUCGAACGCUGAAGACCUGGCUUUUGUUGGGUUGGCUGAGUGGCGAACGGGUGAGUAACACGUGAGUAACCUGCCCUCUUCUUUGGGAUAACGCCCGGAAACGGGUGCUAAUACUGGAUAUUCACUGAUCUUCGCAUGGGGGUUGGUGGAAAGGUUUGUUCUGGUGGGGGAUGGGCUCGCGGCCUAUCAGCUUGUUGGUGGGGUGAUGGCCUACCAAGGCUUUGACGGGUAGCCGGCCUGAGAGGGUGACCGGUCACAUUGGGACUGAGAUACGGCCCAGACUCCUACGGGAGGCAGCAGUGGGGAAUAUUGCACAAUGGGCGAAAGCCUGAUGCAGCGACGCCGCGUGAGGGAUGGAGGCCUUCGGGUUGUAAACCUCUUUCGCUCAUGGUCAAGCCGCAACUGUGGGUUGUGGUGAGGGUAGUGGGUAAAGAAGCGCCGGCUAACUACGU
rnacentral:rRNA from 1 species